GCAAAACGGGGAUUAGAUACCCCGGUAGUCCAGGGUGUAAACGCUGCAGACUUGGUGUUGGGGGCCCUACGGGGGCGUUCAGUGCCGGAGAGAAGUUGUUAAGUCUGCUACUUGGGGAGUACGUCCGCAAGGAUGAAACUUAAAGGAAUUGGCGGGGGAGCACCGCAACGGGAGGAGCGUGCGGUUUAAUUGGAUUCAACACCGGAAAACUCACCAAGGGCGACUAUCACAUGAAAGCCAGGCUAACGACCUUGCUUGAUUCUUAGAGAGGUGGUGCAUGGCCGUCGUCAGUUCGUACCGUAAGGCGUUCUCUUAAGUGAG
rnacentral:rRNA from 1 species